ACGGGGAUGAAAUAUGUGUUUUAGCGAGGAUGGAAAUGUAUUGUACGCUCCAAUGAACGAACGAAAUGCUAAAUGACAAAGAAGGAAUGUGGACAAUGUAACAAGUCUUAAUUUAAGAGGAACAACAACACAGAAUUGUUCAAGUCCCAUAGGAAUGUCAUAUUCUUCCUGUUGUGUGCUCUUUAACUGUUGACAAGAUGAAGGAAAUGUCUUCUUCAAAGCCAAGAUCAAGUAACCUACCACAUAAAAAUCAGGAGUUUAGAUUAGCCAUGUUUAAUGUUUGUGAUUAUUUUAACUAACCUGUCAGCCUCGUCGAGGAUAAGCCAUCUGAUUUGUGAUAAUUUAAGGCAUGAAGUGGUCUGUUGAAAAAUAAAACAAUUUAUAUGAUGAA